rnacentral:rRNA from 1 species
AUGGCGGUGCAGCAGUGUACGGUGGCGCUCUUGGUGGCCGUCGCCCUCGUGGCGGGGCCAGCCGUCUCGUAUGCUGCCGAAGCUGGCUAUGCCCCAGCCGGGCCACAGCCCAAGGCCACAACUGAGGAGCAGAAGCUAGCUGAGAAAGCCAACAAUGCCUUCAAGGCGGCCGUGGCGGCCGCAGCCGCAGCCCCUCCAAUGGACAAGGGCAAGAUAUUCCUCAACACCUUCGUGCAGAUCUUCGGCAGCUGGUCUCUUGAGGGGGUCACCGACACGUCCAGCACCAAAGCCAUUUUCAACUCCAGGGUCGGCUUCACUCUCGCGUGGGCCUCACACAAAGCCCAGGGUGCUACCCUGGAGGCCAAGUAUGAAUCCUUCGUGGCCAUGUUCGACAAGUCGCUCUGCAUCAUCGUCGGCAUCCUGAAGGUCCACUCCGGUGAGGAAGUCAAGGGGCCGAUCCCUGUCGGCGAGCUCAAGGCCAUCGACCAGAUCGACGCCGCCUUCAGCACUGCAGCCACCACUGCCGACGCUGCCCCAAUAAAGGACAGGUCCACCAUCUUCGACUCUGCCUUCAGCGAGGCCAUCAAGGAGACCACUGGUGAUGCAUACGAGGCCUAA